UGGGGAAUUUUGGACAAUGGGCGAAAGCCUGAUCCAGCCAUGCCGCGUGAGUGAAGAAGGCCUUCGGGUUGUAAAGCUCUUUUAGUCGGAAAGAAAAGAUCAUAAUGAACAAUUAUGAUUCGUGACGGUACCGACAGAAAAAGCACCGGCUAACUACGUGCCAGCAGCCGCGGUAAUACGUAGGGGGCGAGCGUUAAUCGGAAUUACUGGGCGUAAAGGGUGCGCAGGCGGUCUUGCAAGUCAGAUGUGAAAGCCCCGGGCUUAACCUGGGAAUUGCGUUUGAAACUACAAGGCUAGAGUGCAGCAGAGGGGAGUGGAAUUCCAUGUGUAGCAGUGAAAUGCGUAGAGAUGUGGAAGAACACCGAUGGCGAAGGCAGCUCCCUGGGUUGACACUGACGCUCAUGCACGAAAGCGUGGGGAGCAAACA
rnacentral:rRNA from 1 species